rnacentral:rRNA from 1 species
AGCGAACGCUGGCGGCAGGCUUAACACAUGCAAGUCGAACGCCCCGCAAGGGGAGUGGCAGACGGGUGAGUAACACGUGGGAACGUACCCUUUGGUUCGGAAUAACUUGGGGAAAGUCAAGCUAAUACCGGAUAAGCCCUUAUGGGGAAAGGUUUACUGCCGAAGGAUCGGCCCGCGUCUGAUUAGCUAGUUGGUGAGGUAAUGGCUCACGAAGGCGACGAUCAGUAGCUGGUCUGAGAGGAUGAUCAGCCACACUGGGACUGAGACACGGCCCAGACUCCUACGGGAGGCAGCAGUGGGGAAUAUUGGACAAUGGGGGCAACCCUGAUCCAGCCAUGCCGCGUGAGUGAUGAAGGCCUUAGGGUUGUAAAGCUCUUUUACCCGGGACGAUAAUGACUAUACCGGGAGAAUAAGCCCCGGCUAACUUCGUGCCAGCAGCCGCCGUAA